CUUCUUUCGUCUUCUCUGUUUUCUCCUCUUAUCUUCUCUGCCGAUCUCAAUCUCAGAAAUUUGAGGCUUUUGCGUGAGAGUUUCAUAGAAAGCUUAUUAGCUGGUUUGAUUAGAGAUGGAGGCGAUGGUACGGUGGUUGAUUGAGCACAGGAAGUUAAUGAUAUGGUUGCUACCGAGAAGAUCGAAAUAGGGUUUAAUAUGAAUUUGAGAAGUGAAUCGAGAUGCUGAUGGAUGAAGAAAAUAAGGGUUGUCGUCAAAUCGAUGAAGUGAAAGUGUUCUGAUAUUGAAUCGAAGAGAAAAGGUAAAUCAGAGAUUUAAUUAGGGUUUCUGUUUUGAAAUUUCUUUAUGAAAUUAUUGUUAUUUGUUAGUUUAUUUAUGGGUUUACUUUUAAUUGAGGUUUUGAUUAAGGAUUGAGAAUUUAUGUGAUGGAAUCGAAAAUUAGGGUUUAUGUUCUGUUCUUCCCCAAAUUAGUUAAUUAGAGUUCUUUCUAAUGAUUGGAUUUUAGAAUCCCUGGAAUUAGAACUGUGGUGUUGAGUUUAACAAGAAGAAGAUGAUGCUUGACUUGUUAUCAACGGAAAGUUAGAAGUUAGAGUUUCAAGCUGAAUAUCUCAGUUGGAUGAAGAUGACUGUAAUUGGUGGAUGUUGUCUCGUUACUUUCAAGUUUGUAUUGGUCCUGAGAAGAAAUAAAAAUGGUGGUUGGUCUGUGAAAUGGUAACUACAGGUGUUGUCGAAUGCAUGGAAAGAAUUGCAGGUCUGUUGAUAGAGAAAUGGUAACGGAUCUGUUAAGUUGCAGUUGAAGUUAAUCUAACUGGUAGGGACUCAAUUUGCUUGUACAUGGUUACUUGAGUCGGAGCAAUUGGUUUUAAUGGUAUCAUGGAAGAAUGAGCAGAAGGUGAGAUCGGUAUUGCUUUGUUGGUGGAGCUGCAGUUGAUUUCAAUGAAUGUGAUGUUGCAGGAAACAUGGUCUGGUGAUUGUGGGAUGUUUGAAUCUCAGAAGUGUUCGGUUUAUACAAGGACUGAAGCUACAAAGGAAAUGAUGUUGAUGUGUUGCAGGGAAGCUACAUCUAGGGAUGAAUGGAGUUGACUGUGAGUGAUUAUGCUAAUUGAGCUAGAUGUUGUUAUGGAGUGUGCAUUUGGCUAAUGAACUACAGAGAUGGAGUUGAUAAACUAUGAAUGAAGGAUAAUGGUUUGUUUGAGCUGAGUUUGAGGAAAUUUAUGUUGUUGGUUAUAAAGCUUUGGUGCAAUUACUGAAGUUGUCAGUUUAUGUGAGUUAUUGGUUUUGAUAUCUUAAAUGAGUUAUAAGAUUCAGAUCUAGUAGUGGAACUAGUUAUAGUCAGUAGUGUUGUAAAUACUAUAAAGAAGAUGGGUUGAAUGAAUGUAACUGGAAUGUAGGUGAUGGUGUUGAUGUUUUGAACUGUAUAUUAGUUAGUGGUAGACUAGGUUUGUAUUUGAGUUACAGGGUUUGGGUGUUUGCAUUUGUAUUGCAUCUUGUUUGUGCAUUAGAAGUUGCCUGAGCAAGGGCCUUGGUUUG